UCGAUAUUUUUGGUGCAAUGAAGGACUCACAACAUUGUGCCACGUGCACUGUGGUCCUAGUGUGAGAGGCUAAUGACAGAAAUGCAAUUAUUUGGCAGCUUAUAUCAGCAAUGUAUAUUGACCCUUUAAAGCUACAUAAAAAGGUGUUUAGCUAUGUAAAGUUAGGGCUGUACAAGGGGCAUAUUGGUCCAUUCGUGAUAUUUAAUGUCAGCAUAUUUCCCUAUCUAUGGUUGGCUAAUGAGGGAAUAUACUUAUCCAUACUAGGGCAGCAAAAUGAGAGUAUAAAAGUGUUGUUAUAGCAGUAGCAGCAGUUGUGUGCACCUAAGAUAGCCUAUAAUGAACUUUUGAGCUGAAAUUGAAAAUGGUCUCGAAAGCUUAAAGUUUUAGUAAUUUCAGAGAGAUUCAUUGCUGAUUUAAGCAGCAUUUAAUCUCUGAUAUCAUCAUGAAGAAGGUGCAGAUUUAGUAAAGGUUACAUGUUGCAGAUUUCUAGUGCAAAAAGGAGGCUUGGAGGUUAAAAAAUAGUUGUGGCUGCUUCUGGGGUCUAAGCAUGGUUUAAGCAAGUUUGUUUGGGGUUUUCACACCUGCAGUAGGCAUCUACACAACCAAAAUCAAGCUGGGCAAUAAAGUAAAAAUGAGCCAACAACGGUCCAUUAAGGCCUUUUGAAGUCAAGCCAGAGCAUAGGGGACAACAUUCAGAAGGAAGCAAGGAUGCAGCAGUGCAUCACAUCCAGACGCCAUUCCUCGCGUCUGAACACAAGUCUUUUAUACACUGCGUUCGGACGACAAAAUCUGCGUCCGGAUGCUAAAAGCUGCGUCCGAAUGCCAUGUUGCAAUUUAAGUUACGGGUUUGACCUAUUUUGAUGGCUAUGGGAUUUUAUCUUUUGGGCUUGUUUUUGUAACCGAUGGGCUUUAUUAGGUUUUGUAUUAAAGGGAAAAUAGGACCUUUAUUUAGUGGUUAGUUUUUGUUUUUUAUAAUUAAGUUUAAUUUUUCUGUAUCAAUAUUACGUUCUCUCUGAAAAAACACGCAAAAGCAGAGAAACAGAAGAAUAGGCUAGGGUUUGGAAGAAAAAGCUCAGAGAUAAUGAAUCAAAGGAUGGAGAUUGUUCUAUCUUCGAAUCUGUUAAUCAUGAGUAGCAAAUUCUUCUACUUAGGGUUGGAUACACCCUAAACAUGUAACCUAUUCUCUCUUUCUUUCUUACUUUUUAGGGAGUAAUUUAUGUAAUUGAUGUAUAGGCUUGAAUAACAUGAUUAAAUUCUUCCAAUUUUUUAUUUGUAUU